GUGGAGGCGAAGUCAAGAUCGAGAGCCGGAAGGUCAACUUUAAGGAGAAAGCUCAGCCCAAGGUGAGCUCGAUGGAUAAUGUUAAUCACGAGCCCGGAGGCGGGAAUGUCAAGGCUGAGGGGGCGCAGGAGACUGCUGAGGGCAGCGGGGCUCCCUCUAGUGGUGUCUCAGCAGGCCCUGCCCAGGAGAAUGGGCUGAAGGAGGGCGCCCCCUGCAGGAGUGAGGAGCUCCGGGACCCGCAGGGCCUGGACUCGCUCAUCCCUGAAACAAGCAUCUAACUCGACUUUUUGCUAUCACUCUGCCCUCUUCAUUUCCCCCCCCCGACCGCUUCCUCUCCUCCCCUUCUUUAUGUCCUGUCCCUCCUCUGUCCUGUCUUUCUCCACACUCUCUGAUGCAGAUUGAGUCUUUCAAGCUAAAUUUCCGCGAGAAGGCCCGCUCUCGCACGGACCACGGCGCCGACAUCAUCACCUGGCCCGUCUCGGGUGACAGCCCUGCCCCCCCCCACCUCGCUCCGCAGCAGCGUCUCGCUCAACGACUCCCUCGCGACCGCCGGCAUCCCUCGCUCUCACACCACCCCGGCCCUCUCCUCCUCACAGGAACAAGGCUCGCUCACCGGACUCUGGAUAUGAUUUCUGUCUUUUCAUUGGCCCGCUGCUCUCUAAACCCCGCCCCCUACCAUUGCUAAGACUCAUGUGAUUGGUGUGCUCUCUGUUGACGUUCUUGAUUCCUGAUUGGUGAGGCUGUACAGAUUACAGUCAUCAGGAUGCGCUAAAAAAUGAAGGCUGCUGACCCGAGGGUCUGUAAACUCUGAGGUUACACUCUGAGUACAUCCUGCUACAUCACUUGUUGUAGAUCUGAUCACAUGCAAACACAUCUGGACAUCAUCUCUAGCUGCCUUCAAGUCCUCAUGGGAAGUUCGUACUUACGAGUUGUUUACGAUGCGAUCGUGUCAUGUGAUUUUAGAUGGAAAAAAUCACUUUCUGACCAAACCAAGAAGCUUCUUUUAGUGCCAAAGCAACAAAAUGAAGAGCAAAGCAUGUGCAUUAGAUGUGUGCAUUUGAUCAUUCUAAUGAAUAGGGAAUGUAGUUUGGUUUUGUGAAGAUUUAAUUCACGUUCACACUACAUUUCGAGCAUGCAAAGUGUCUACAGAUUUAAAAUACACUGAAAAAAAAUAAAAUAAAUUGGUGCACGAACAGUUUUCGCUCAGAAACGGCUUAAUUUCACAAACAAUUACAAAGAAACCGCAUGCAACGCGUUUGAAUUAGACGCGCAAUUGUAAAGUAGAAGAAUUGAAAUAUUUUCCUUUAUUUACUACUAUAAAAAGAAAAAAAAAUUGUAAAAUGGUGUUUUUUUUUAAUAAAAAUAUGCAAUCUGCAAUCUACUGAAAUAUACUGCAAGUCUGCAGAUUUAAAGUUUGCUGUUUUUGUUUAAUUCAGCUAAGACGUCACUCCACGUGCAUGAGCUUGCUUUUCCUCUCUCCACGUUUGCAUGCGUGUGAAUCGAAGUCAGUAGAACGUAAAGUGUAGUGUGAUCGUCCCUUUAUGCCUCAAAAAUUGUCUAAAUGAAUAUUAUCUGAAACUUUUACAUCUAAAAUGGCUAACAACAGCUCCAACUCGGAAAGUCCCCCAACAUCAGAUGUCAGAUUUGGGUGGCGCUCGUCUCGUAAGCACGAUCAUUUCUGCUUGAUUUGAAGGCAGCAUCAUUCAGCAUACAGGGCUGUCAUGUGACCCUCUCUCACCUUCACCCUUGACCUCCAGCAGAGCUGUCAUCGGAGCACAUAGGCUUUCUGAAUCUCUCUCUAAAGCUGUUUUGUGAUGGUGUGUUUGAGUGAAUACUGUAGCAAUGAACCGCUUUCCUUCGACUCUUCGUUUUAUUUUUCGUGACCAGCAGAUGUUUCCUUUUCCUUGUUAUUGUAAAGCAAUAUAACAGUCUCCUAUAAUGCCUAUAAGACAUGAAACUCCACUUAAACGCACAGUAAACAGCACUCAGUGUCAAACGCAGCUCCAGACGGCUUCAGGAACGUGUAGAGGGUCUGAGGUGGACGUGUAACGAAAAAUACCCUUGUGAAAAAGAAGAAACAAUAAUAUUAAUGAAAUAAAAGCCCACUUAAGUGUACUUACAGUAGGCCGUUUCCUAACACACUUAAGUACGCUUUGCAAUAUUGUCAAAUUAAUUGUUUUAAAGUACAUUUUAAAUCAUUAUGUUUUGAUAAUCUUUGAAGACGUACACUUAUUUUGACGUGUUGACUGUCAUACUAAAGCGCAUGUGAAAUACUUGAUUAUAAUCGAACUGUAGUGUUAUGCGAUAUUACAUUCAAAGUUAUUUUACUCGGCUGCAUUCAUCAUUACAAAUGUAUAAUUAAAAAUUUAUUUAAAUACAUGACUUACAAGUUUAGUUUACCAUGCAUGCUUGUCAUUGCAAUCAGCAAUACACUUUAACCGUGUUUCAAAGACACUAGAAGUAUUUGUGAAUCUGCGUAUAAAGAUGUACUUAAAUCCUACUUACAGUAAAUGGCUAAAAAACACUAUAAAGUUCAGAUCAUUGCAUUUAAAAUAAAUUUGAACCAUUAUAGACUUCAUUUCAAUUAACAUACAUUCAGUUCACACUUACAGUAAGUAUAUUCGUCUAAAGUGCAUUGCUGUAAUAAGUAUACUUAAGUGUACUUCUUUUUCACAAAGGCAAGGGAAGUGUGGAGACACUAGAUGUUGACUUGAUGCUUGAGGGGUUUCUGUUGGGAUUGAAUAGUUGAUGUUUUGGCAUCAUGUACAGUAGGUACAGUAUGUUUUAAAUGGAAGUGAGGAUCAAGUUCGUGCCUGAUAGAAAUCGCAUCCCUUCGGAGGGACGCAGAGACAGAAUGUCAAAGCUUGAAAGCUUUUACGUACUUUUAAUAGUUGCUUUACGAGAAACCAGUGAAAUUGCGAGUGAGUCUGGUGGUGGUUUUACUUCUCUUAUUCGUUUCUGCAGGUCUUUUUUAGGAGUUAAAGUGUGAUCAUGUGGGUUGAAACGUUCCUGCGGGGUUUUAAUGGUGGAGCUUAAUUCUCUUGUAGCAUUUUACAAUAGUUUAUCUUCAGAUGGUCGCACUGAAUCACAUGCUUAACACGAAUCUGCUUGGUUUAGUGUCCUUUUGGUGUAAUAAUGGGGUAAGAGGACGUGGCCGUUCUUUUAGUGUUCAUUUUGUCAUCAGCUGAGGGCGAUAUGGAGGUCCGACGUACAUUUAUUUUUUAUGAGUAUGACAAAUUAUUGUUGCAUCUAUCUUGUCAGACCGUUUCAAUCCCAGAACAUACAAAGCAAUAAGACUGUCACACUGACAGACCCCAGAUUUCGACUUUUAGAAACCUACAUCGUGCAUGACGGCGUAAAGCAUUCAGAUCAUGAAAUAUUACGCGAUUGAUCGAAAAAUUUACGAAUGCAUGGCCAUGCUACAAAAUCAAGUUUCUGAGAGAUAGCUACCUUAUCUAAGAUACAGAUGGUAGACAACCAAAAUGGGUAAUACCGCCGCGCGUACCGCCGCCGCAGGGCCGCGGCGUUAACUUCAAGUCAGUCAAGUGUUAAAAUCCUUCGCGAAACUACCACCAGGUGGCGCAAAGGGACGGAUUGCGAACUGAAUGUAAUUGUAAAAUGAGAUAAAAGGAGGAGGUAAAACAACAAUAACAUUAUGAUAUAACAUUGUACCAUCUUUAAAAAACCAUUAAAAAAUGUACAGUGAGUUAAUUUCAAAAUGUAGGAUAGUCUUAGGCUACAGUUUACUCA
rnacentral:lncRNA from 1 species